rnacentral:rRNA from 1 species
GCAGUCGAGCGAAUCGAUGGGAGCUUGCUCCCUGAGAUUAGCGGCGGACGGGUGAGUAACACGUGGGCAACCUGCCUAUAAGACUGGGAUAACUUCGGGAAACCGGAGCUAAUACCGGAUACGUUCUUUUCUCGCAUGAGAGAAGAUGGAAAGACGGUUUCGGCUGUCACUUAUAGAUGGGCCCGCGGCGCAUUAGCUAGUUGGUGAGGUAAUGGCUCACCAAGGCGACGAUGCGUAGCCGACCUGAGAGGGUGAUCGGCCACACUGGGACUGAGACACGGCCCAGACUCCUACGGGAGGCAGCAGUAGGGAAUCUUCCGCAAUGGACGAAAGUCUGACGGAGCAACGCCGCGUGAACGAAGAAGGCCUUCGGGUCGUAAAGUUCUGUUGUUAGGGAAGAACAAGUACCAGAGUAACUGCUGGUACCUUGACGGUACCUAACCAGAAAGCCACGGCUAACUACGUGCCAGCAGCCGCGGUAAUACGUAGGUGGCAAGCGUUGUCCGGAAUUAUUGGGCGUAAAGCGCGCGCAGGUGGUUCUUUAAGUCUGAUGUGAAAGCCCACGGCUCAACCGUGGAGGGUCAUUGGAAACUGGGGAACUUGAGUGCAGAAGAGGAAAGUGGAAUUCCAAGUGUAGCGGUGAAAUGCGUAG